rnacentral:tRNA from 1 species
AGUGGCUGAGCUUAAGAAGCGCCGGUCUGUAAAACCGAUAACGGAAAUUUUCCCUUUA